GAGGCAUUACACGCGUCUUUAGAAGAAUCAGGCUUCCUACCUUCAAGAGACAGAUGGAGAUAUCAUUUGACUACAACUUGUAGAUAACUCUGACUAUAACAUUAUUGGGGUCUUAAUACCUUCUUCAGGCUGCAAGCUCUUUGAGUCAAGGACUAUGAGGCUCCAGAACUCUGAGGGAAAUCGUAAUGAGGGGAGAGCAGGCACACCAACAAC